GCUAUGUGUAGCAGAUUGGGCUACGCCCUAUUAUUUGGCUCCUUUGCUUCUCCCCCUGUGCUGGAUUGGUGUGGCUGCGUUCAUCCUAAUUACAGGGCGGACCUAGGCAGACUUAUAUCUAGGAACGCAAAUUGCUACCUGGAUGUGCUACUUUCUCUCUUUCCCGUCUUCCGGGGCGCAUAGUAGUUUGGCGUGGAUCACAACUUGGAUGGUGAAGCCGCCAUCAAGUGAAUGCUCUCACGAGUAAGAGCUUGGUCUGUCCUGUCGGCGUUGAGGCCGGUGUAGCACUGUUGAGCCUGGUGUCUGCCUUAAAGCAGCUAGAGUGGUAUGUUGAUGAUUUGAUGGAAAG